rnacentral:rRNA from 1 species
AACGAACGCUGGCGGCAGGCCUAACACAUGCAAGUCGAGCGCCCUUUCGGGGGAGCGGCGGACGGGUGAGUAACGCGUGGGAAUAUGCCCUUCUCUACGGAAUAGCCUCGGGAAACUGAGAGUAAUACCGUAUACGCCCUGUGGGGGAAAGAUUUAUCGGGGAAGGAUUAGCCCGCGUUGGAUUAGGUAGUUGGUGGGGUAAUGGCCCACCAAGCCGACGAUUCAUAGCUGGUUUGAGUGGAUGAUCAGCCACACUGGGACUGAGACACGGCCCAGACUCCUACGGGGGAGAGCAGUAGGGAAUCUUAGACAAUGGAGGCAACCCUGGUCUAGCCAUGCCGCGUGAGUGAGGAAGGCCUUAGGGUUGUAAAGCUCUUUCAGCUGGGAAGAUAAUGACGGUACCAGCAGAAGAAGCCCCGGCUAACUCCGUG